CUUGAGGGAGGGCCCAAUGAUGAUCUCACUGUGAACUGCCAUGUCCUACCUGCUAAACAGAUUUCCUUACAUUGACCAGAUUUGGAGUUGCCCUUUCCAGGAUCAAUAAGAACAAGGAAAUCCAGAUGCUUCUGAGAGGCUCCCAGCUCCUGAUUCCCAUAUGUGGAAGGCUCAGAUCAAGACUAUCUCUUCAUGAAACAACUCAACCACUACCCAGGACUCAGGGAGCUUUCCCAAGGACCUUGUAUACCUUCCUUUUUUGUAUCAAGACAGAAGGGCAGCUUCCUUCUCCCCGUCUCUUAUCUCUUCAUCCUCUUUUUUUCUCCCUCCCUAAUGGUAUGUACUCUGAAUUAGAGGACAAUAAAUAAAGCCAAGUGGUACUGAAGGAAUAUUUGAGA